GUCCAUUUGGGGACAUUCGAUAAAAUUGGAACAAUGCAGAGAAGAUUAGCAUGGCUAUAAGGAUGACACACACAGAUCGAGAAAAUAGACCUAUAAUU